AUACAGAGGGUGCAAGCGUUAUUCGGAAUUACUGGGCGUAAAGCGCGCGUAGGCGGAUGAUUAAGUCAGUUGUGAAAGCUCUGGGCUCAACCUAGGAACUGCAUCUGAUACUGGUCGUCUAGAGUUUAAGAGAGGGAAGUGGAAUUCCAGGUGUAGCAGUGAAAUGCGUAGAUAUCUGGAGGAACAUCAGUGGCGAAGGCGACUUCCUGGCUUAAAACUGACGCUGAGGUGCGAAAGCGUGGGUAGCGAACGGGAUUAGAUACCCUAGUAGUCC
rnacentral:rRNA from 1 species